rnacentral:rRNA from 1 species
UGGGGAAUUUUGGACAAUGGGCGAAAGCCUGAUCCAGCAAUGCCGCGUGUGUGAAGAAGGCCUUCGGGUUGUAAAGCACUUUUGUCCGGAAAGAAAUCCUUGGCUCUAAUACAGUCGGGGGAUGACGGUACCGGAAGAAUAAGCACCGGCUAACUACGUGCCAGCAGCCGCGGUAAUACGUAGGGUGCAAGCGUUAAUCGGAAUUACUGGGCGUAAAGCGUGCGCAGGCGGUUUGCUAAGACCGAUGUGAAAUCCCCGGGCUCAACCUGGGAACUGCAUUGGUGACUGGCAGGCUAGAGUAUGGCAGAGGGGGGUAGAAUUCCACGUGUAGCAGUGAAAUGCGUAGAGAUGUGGAGGAAUACCGAUGGCGAAGGCAGCCCCCUGGGCCAAGUACUGACGCUCAUGCACGAAAGCGUGGGGAGCAAACAGGAUUAGAUACCCUGGUAGUCCACGCCCUAAANGAUGUCAACUAGUUGUUGGGGAUUCAUUUCCUUAGUAACGUAGCUAACGCGUGAAGUUGACCGCCUGGGGAGUACGGUCGCAAGAUUAAAACUCAAAUGAAUUGACGGGGUCAUAGCUGUUUCCU